rnacentral:rRNA from 1 species
AUUGAACGCUGGCGGCAUGCCUUACACAUGCAAGUCGAACGGUAACAGGUUAAGCUGACGAGUGGCGAACGGGUGAGUAAUGUAUCGGAACGUGCCCAGUCGUGGGGGAUAACUACUCGAAAGAGUGGCUAAUACCGCAUACGACCUGAGGGUGAAAGCGGGGGACCGUAAGGCCCCGCGCGAUUGGAGCGGCCGAUAUCGGAUUAGCUAGUUGGUGGGGUAAAAGUCCACCAAGGCGACGAUCUGUAGCUGGUCUGAGAGGACGACCAGCCACACUGGGACUGAGACACGGCCCAGACUCCUACAGGAGGCAGCAGUGGGGAAUUUUGGACAAUGGACGCAAGUCUGAUCCAGCCAUGCCGCGUGCGGGAAGAAGGCCUUCGGGUUGUAAACCGCUUUUGUCAGGGAAGAAACGAGUUUCUCUAAUACAGAGACUUAAUGACGGUACCUGAAGAAUAAGCACCGGCUAACUACGUGCCAGCCGCCGCUGUAAUAC